rnacentral:rRNA from 1 species
GUGGGGAAUAUUGGACAAUGGGGGGAACCCUGAUCCAGCCAUGCCGCGUGUGUGAAGAAGGCCUUUUGGUUGUAAAGCACUUUAAGCGAGGAGGAGGCUACCGAGAUUAAUACUCUUGGAUAGUGGACGUUACUCGCAGAAUAAGCACCGGCUAACUCUGUGCCAGCAGCCGCGGUAAUACAGAGGGUGCGAGCGUUAAUCGGAUUUACUGGGCGUAAAGCGUGCGUAGGCGGCUUUUUAAGUCGGAUGUGAAAUCCCUGAGCUUAACUUAGGAAUUGCAUUCGAUACUGGAAAGCUAGAGUAUGGGAGAGGAUGGUAGAAUUCCAGGUGUAGCGGUGAAAUGCGUAGAGAUCUGGAGGAAUACCGAUGGCGAAGGCAGCCAUCUGGCCUAAUACUGACGCUGAGGUACGAAAGCAUGGGGAGCAAACAGGAUUAGAUACCCGAGUAGUCC